UCGAUGUAAAAGUUUGGAAUUUAAAAUCGAUCAAGUUAGACAUCGGUAAAUUUAUAAAAUGGAGAAUCAAUCGAGUGAAAAAGAAAAGAAAAAGACAAGCAAAUGUAAUUACGUAAUUGAAAAAGCCGCAGUAGCAACAAGUUGAAACAUUUUGAUGUAAAAAUAUAUCCGCGAUGAACGUUCAAUACGGCAUAUUAAUGGACGAAGAAAAUAAAGAAAGACUCUCGGCGGGGAAAGGCUAUUUAUAAGACUGUCAAAAGAAACAAGAGAAAACGGGGAUUAUUCACGAAGACAAUUUCAUUGACUAGACGGAUCUGCCUUCACCAAAGGGUCAAUAAAACCUGACUCAGUUUAAUAAGAAUAAGAAGACUAUGGAUGGCUAUAGAACAGAAGAAAUCGUUCCAAGUGGAUAAUAUAAAAAUGUGGGAUUGAUUGGAUAAGCAGAAAUGGCUCGAGUAGCGGUGAAAUUAUUCGCUCGGUUGCCUGGCGUCUGACCACAGCUCGGCCAUUCCACUGCGGCCGGUUAAAACUCCCGACGCUAUAUUUAUACAAGAAGUUUGAAAAUACAGCUCGAUUACAGUGUAAAUACUCAUUGCAAUAAAACAACAAUGGAUUCGCGGGCCAACCUCCCGACA